CCAGCACCCGCGGUAAUUCCAGCUCCAAUAGCGUAUAUUAAAGUUGUUGCAGUUAAAAAGCUCGUAGUUGGAUUUCUGGCGGGAUGAACACGCCCUCAGCUGAGUGUGCAUGAGCGUCUCACCAUCCUUCUGUUAACCCUUAAGGUUUUAACGACCUUCUGGGGGCUCAGAUAUUUUACCUUGAGAAAAUUAGAGUGUUUCAGGCAGGCUAGCGCCGGGAUACAUUAGCAUGGAAUAAUGGAAUAGGACUUUUUCCUCUUCUGUUGGUCUGAGGGGUUCGAGUAAUGAUUAAUAGGGAUAGUUGGGGGCAUUAGUACUUUGCUGUCAGAGGUGAAAUUCUCGGAUUUGCAAAAGACUAACUUAUGCGAAAGCAUUUGCCAAGGAUGUUUUCAUUGAUCAAGAACGAAAGU
rnacentral:rRNA from 1 species